rnacentral:rRNA from 1 species
UACGUAGGGUGCAGGCGUUAAUCGGAAUACUGGGCGUAAAGCGUGCGCAGGCGGUUGUGCAAGACAGAUGUGAAAUCCCCGGGCUUAACCUGGGAAUUGCAUUUGUGACUGCACGGCUAGAGUGUGUCAGAGGGGGGGUAGAAUUCCACGUGUAGCAGUGAAAUGCGUAGAUAUGUGGAGGAAUACCGAUGGCGAAGGCAGCCCCCUGGGAUAACACUGACGCUCAUGCACGAAAGCGUGGGGGAGCAAAACAGG